rnacentral:rRNA from 1 species
UGCCUAACACAUGCAAGUCGAACGAGACCUUCGGGUCUAGUGGCGCACGGGUGCGUAACGCGUGGGAAUCUGCCCUUGGGUUCGGAAUAACUCAGAGAAAUUUGAGCUAAUACCGGAUGAUGACGUAAGUCCAAAGAUUUAUCGCCCAGGGAUGAGCCCGCGUAAGAUUAGGUAGUUGGUGGGGUAAAAGCCUACCAAGCCGACGAUCUUUAGCUGGUCUGAGAGGAUGAUCAGCCACACUGGGACUGAGACACGGCCCAGACUCCUACGGGAGGCAGCAGUGGGGAAUAUUGGACAAUGGGCGAAAGCCUGAUCCAGCAAUGCCGCGUGAGUGAUGAAGGCCCUAGGGUUGUAAAGCUCUUUUACCCGGGAUGAUAAUGACAGUACCGGGAGAAUAAGCCCCGGC